AGAGUUUGAUCCUGGCUCAGGACGAACGCUGGCGGCGUGCUUAACACAUGCAAGUCAAACGGAAAGUGCUCAGCUUGCUGGGUGACUCGAGUGGCGAACGGGUGAGUAACACGUGGGUGAUCUGCCCUGCACUUUGGGAUAAGCCUGGGAAACUGGGUCUAAUACCGAAUACACCCUGCUGGUCGCAUGGCCUGGUGGGGGAAAGCUUUUGCGGUGUGGGAUGGGCCCGCGGCCUAUCAGCUUGUUGGUGGGGUGAUGGCCUACCAAGGCGACGACGGG
rnacentral:rRNA from 1 species